rnacentral:rRNA from 1 species
GACGAACGCUGGCGGCGUGCUUAACACAUGCAAGUCGAACGGAAAGGCCCUGCUUGUGUGGGGUGCUCGAGUGGCGAACGGGUGAGUAACACGUGAGUAACCUGCCCUUGACUGUGGGAUAACUUCAGGAAACUGGGGCUAAUACCGGAUAGGAGCUCCUGCUGCAUGGUGGGGGUUGGAAAGUUUCGGCGGUUGGGGAUGGACUCGCGGCUUAUCAGCUUGUUGGUGGGGUAGUGGCUUACCAAGGCUUUGACGGGUAGCCGGCCUGAGAGGGUGACCGGCCACAUUGGGACUGAGGUACGGCCCAGACUCCUACGGGAGGCAGCAGUGGGGAAUAUUGCACAAUGGGCGGAAGCCUGAUGCAGCAACGCCGCGUGCGGGAUGACGGCCUUCGGGUUGUAAACCGCUUUCGCCUGUGACGCAGCGUGAGUGACGGUAAUGGGUAAAGAAGCACCGGCUAACUACGUG